GCGUGGGCGUCUCGAACGAACCUGUCCGGUAACCAGCUCCAGCCCGGCUCGUGCUGACUACUCCGCGGGGCCCGCCCGAGGUUCGGCUCCAGCCGUCUAGAGGCUUUCCGAAGACUGGGGUCACGGGUCCGCCCCCGACCCUGCGGAAGUAGGUCUGAACCGCGUUUCUCACGAGCUCCCAGGUGAUGCCAAUGGUGUUGGUUCGAGACCACACUUUGAAGGAUCGCGGCGUGAGGAAGUCUUUCCACGCAGAGAGCUGUGCCCUUUUCCGAGUUUUGCUGCGUGCCCUCCUUCAGUUCAGGAUCCGGUGGAAGCGGGGCGAUAGUGCGCUCCCCUGCAGAGGACUGCAGCGCGGGGUGAACUCCCGCCGCAUGCCCGGCCGCGCACCCGGUAGGAGUACCCGGACCCCAGGCUGGUUGCUUAAAGCGAAAAGAUUUUAUCUGAGAAAGGAAAGGAAAGAUGGAGAAGAAGGAAUCAGAACAAGCACAUCAAAUGAUGAGGCCCAAAGAAUUUCCCAGGGUCUUAGAAACAUUGAGAAUAUCAAACUUUUUACCUUCCUUCCUGAAAUGACUGUAAAGCCUAAUAUGUCACACCUCUAACCAGACAGACCAGCCCCACUGAGCCGGGAGCUGACACUCUGGAACUGCCGGACAGGUGACCUGGUGGCUCUUGAAUGUUCUUGGGACCAGCUCCUCACCAGGCAACAGAGGCGCUCAGCUCCAGAAGACCAAACACCAGUGCGUAAAGAAGGAGGCGGAGUAAACGCAAUGAGGGAGAAACACACCUGCACGGAAGUCCCUGCUACUGUGUUAAACAGAAAUUAAAUGAAUGGAUGCAGAUGAUGUGCCUGGAGCCAUGCUCUUCUGCAUUAAGGGCUCCAUCAACAUCUGUCACUGUCUCCAUCAUCAUCAUCAUGGCAGCAAGAGGAGGCCUAAGAUGGUAGGAGCUGACAAACGCCUAAUGAAUUGAGGUCAAGAGGCCAAGCAAACAUGGAGUGCUGCAAUAAUGUUAUCCGAACCGGUGACAGGAAUAACGAAUGGUGAAUGUUAAGGCUAAAGGAGAAGAAGAAAUAAACCGGGCUGAGGAGAACUUCAAAAAUCCCCAAGAGUGCCGCUGCAGACACGUGAGCUGCCGCUCUGGGAAGGGGAUGACUGAAGCCGAAACGUGUGAUGCGUAGUUAAUGGUGACCAGCAGGUGGCGCUCUAAGCCGUCCGAUCGCUACCCAGGCUUCCAGACUUGAGAUUUUUGCUUGAGCACCUAUGAAGUGGAAACAGACACCGGGAGCCUCGGAACUAUAACUUUCUGGCUCUGUGAUUCCGCGAAGUCCCCAACAUCCGGAGUCUUGUGGUGCUCUUUGCCUGUGGGUGCCUGUAUUGCAUCAUCCAUUCAAUUCAAUUCAGACCGGUGGCUCAGACUUCAACUAAGCAAACCAAUCACCUGGUUCUCUUGUGAAAAUGCAAAUUAUAACUCAGUCAGAAUGGGGUGGGGGCCUGAGGUUCUGCAUUUCUAACAAGCUCCCUGGUGAUGAUUCACGCUCAGUAGUUCCAAAACUUAGAAUAUGCUGACUACAAUGUCCCUUCUCUCUGCAACGUGGUAGGUGGGAGGGUUUACAGCUUCCUGGAGUAAAACCCCACUGACACGUCUAUCAUACAAACUGAAGUCGAGCCAGUCGCCUGACCUCGUUGGGACUCAGUUUCCUCAUCUGUAAAAUAGAAAUAGGAACAGCCUUUCCUUUAGAGAGUUAUCUGAGAAUUAAAUCAGGAUACUGUAUGUAAAACCCUUAGCACAGUGCCUGGUGUAAGUAAAGCCUCAACAAGGCUUGGGGAUACAGUAAGAGGAGAAUGGAGGCAGGCAGGCAGCCCUCGUGGGGUCAUAAAUUGGAAGGAGCAAAGGUGAGAGGUAAUCCUUAAGAAGGUGCCAUCUCAGUUAUCAAGGUAUCUGUCAUCUGAAAAAGGGGAGCCAGGGAGCUGAGGACAAGAGCCAGGAGGAGAACAGGUCUCCUGAUCAGGUGGCAGACCUAAGGCUGAUUUUGAGGGAGAUUUAAGUAAGCUGCAGGCUAAGCAGACUUCCUUCUAGAGAUGGGGUGCAGAGCAAGGCCCGGGAUGGAAGAGCCAGACUUCUGUCAGCUCAGGCACCCCUCCAUUUCACAUCUUUAGGGGUUGUGAGAGGAGCUAAGAGGAGCCGAGGAUCUCCCUGGCCUUGCCCUCCUGCAAAGCUUUGCCAGUCUGCAAACCUCAGCGCCAUGGCCAUGGCGUCCGCAGCCCAGAUGCCCUAAGUGAUCUACCUAAAUGUUUACCUAAAUACUUUAAAUAGGGUGAUAUUUCUUCAGC